rnacentral:tRNA from 1 species
GCCGCGAUGGUGGAAUCGGUAGACACGAAGGACUUAAAAUCCUUUGGCCAGUGAUGGCUGUGUGGGUUCAAGUCCCACUCGCGGUACCA